GGAUGUGAAAAUUUUGUGAAAUAAAAAGGAAAGCUAGAAGCAUAUGUGAAACCUGCUGAUCUUUAGAUCUGGUUUUCUCACACGAGAACAGGUCAAAACUCUUUUGAUUCUGUUCUGAGGCCUCUCCUGCUGCUUUUCAGUUUUUCCUUAUUAUAACUGAUUAACUUCUGGAUUGUUGACUGAGUGAGCAUUUUGGUGGCUAUAUGGCAGGAUUGGAGGCUCUGCAGCUUCUCUCUAGCUUAAAUUUGAGUUACAAUAAAUUCAGCAGUUUUACUGCCCUAGAGUCUCUGAGACAACUGAAGUCCUUGAAAGUGUUAAAUAUUUCAUACAACCAGAUUGGUGAACAUUCUGUUGACUUGACAAGGUACCUGUGCUCCUCUCCUUUGUCUCAUUCGGUGGGAAGUGAAUGGCGUAAUGAUGAAAUCGUAACAGGUGGUGUCUUUUUACCAACUUAUUGGCAUGCUUAUUUUGUUCUUAGAGGGCUGAACUUGAAACAACUAGAUGUUGUAGGAAAUGCAAUUGCCGAUGAGAAAUUCAAGUCUUUUCUGUUUAAGGUUCUGCCCACACUAAGGUGGUUGGAUGGAGAUUUGUGUUAGAUUCUUUGACGAUUUAGUUUUCAGCUUUUUGAGGAAUUCUCCUCUCCUCCACAGAAAAAGAGAAGGAUGGAAACAGUAGAGAAAGAAAAAAAUAUACAUAGUUGUGAUUUGCUGUAGCAUUUUUUUGUAAUGUGGUUCCAGUGAUGAACAUGUUAUUUAUAGUUGUUAACUAUAGAAACAGGAACUUUGGCAGUUUAUGUUGGCUUGUUAUAUGAUUUUAAACUGUAGAUUAACAACAUUUCAUUUGGGAAGGUUUAUCCUUUAUCUUGUUGUAGAUGACUGGUUUCUUGAUUAUCUAUUUAAACUAAUUUGAAUUGCUUGUCGUUGCCAUAUUCACGUAGGUAAUUACGGUUAUGGGGUGUACGAUUUCAUAGUGUUUAAUUUAGUUAAUUUCAAAAAACCCAAAAUGGGAAACAAGAAGUUGAUUGGUUUGGCACAUUAAAGUUUGUCUAGUCAUAACCAUUUCAUUUCAAAACAAUAGUUGCAUCCUUGUUAGAAUGCUCUUCCAGUUGAAUUUUCUUACAAUUACUUUACCCCAGUUUGGUCAUAAUGUGCCCAUAAAGUCAUAUUAUUUAUACAAUUACUCAACUAAGAGAAUCUAUUUCCAAUGUUAAGAGCAGCUAGAAAAUUGCAGAAGCAGGGUAGAAAUUUAAGCUGCCUUUGUGUAUGAAUUGUUUUUUAAUUUUUAUUUUCUAAUUCAUAUGUAUUUAUGUAUAUUUGCCUUCAUGGAAAUAUUAUAUAUAAAGUUGCAUACUUGUGGAAUAAAGACAAAUAGUUUUCCAAAAAAUACUAAAAAUGACAUUUUAAAAUUUGCUAAUUCCUUUAUCAUUUUCACUAUUAUUCUCUUCAUUGUUAAUUAAUUUCUAUGGUUUUGUAGGUGAAAUACAUACAAAUUUAGGGAAUAAAAUUAGAAAACAUUUUCAUAUAUCAAAAUCUAGCUUAAUUUCCUUUGAUUUUGACAGUAAUGAGUACUUGUUAGUCCUGCACCAUCUUAAUUUGCCAAACUGAGUAACUUCACCUAUUUGUUGAAAAAUAGUGCGGUUCAAAGUUGCGUAUUGGUUCAGAAAGACUUGUCUGCUUUUGCAAUUAUAGGAUUCCUUUAUCAAUCAAGCAAUGAUGACAAUAGAUUACUCCGCGGCUUGCAGAUUUGCAUUAUGGUUUUAAAUCCUUAUACUGGCCCAGUUCUUCUUUACAAGUAUUCUCGUGCAGUGAGAGUUACGAUUUGAGCCAUUUACAUUGGGGCUGUUAUUGGUUUGCAAGAAGAUUAGAAACAAAUAAAGAAAAAAGAAAGCGUGGAAGGGGAUUAUUACUAUUGUUUGGUAGAAAAGAAGAGUGAGAAAACAUAAAACAUCAAGCAUUUUAAUCUUCUUCAGUUGGUCCUUCCAGCUUAUGUGGAUUAAGAAAAUACCACUUCUUUGAUUAUCUGUGAUCUUAUUGUUGUACUUUCUUUUAUGAGUUAACCAACCAUCAGUGGAGAAGAAAGAAGGAAGAGACUGACAGGUUACGGUAGAAGUUUAUGUUGCAUUGAGUAAUAACGAACGUUCUUGAUUUUAUUACAAAGAUUCGUCAGACAUAGAUGAGAUUGAUCGAGUGAAUGCUACCCAGAACAACAUACACAUGGUAGAACAUGCUUGAUGGAGAGGCAACAAGAAUCUGAACUGCAAGGACUUUGAAAUGAAGAAAUGGAGGAGUUUGAUUAGCAAAAUGACGAAGCCAUCUUGAAUGUUUGCGGCAAGAAAGGCUUGGGGUUGACCUGCACAUUCAGGUAAGAUUUUAUUUAGCGUAACUUCACUGAUAUCAAGAUUUUAGAUUUGAGAUAAAUUUUGAUCAGCCUUAUCAGGCAUGUGUGAUAUCGGGGUUCAAUCUCCAUUAUCUACAGACUACUCGAGCAGAGGCUCAGGUCAAAAGAAAGUUACUUCUGACUAUCUAUACUGAACUCCCCAUAAUUUCUUUUAGAAAUAAUAAAUUUUUUUGAAAGAACGCUGAACUAACCAUAUGUGUCCUUGAAACUGUAGCUUUGGUAUCCUUCCUCCUUCUGAGACCCAUGAAAACACAUGAGACCGAUGACACCGGCACACAACCCAAGCAUUGCAUGAAAAAGAAUCUCUCUCUUCAUGCUCUUUGACUUUGAUUCCAUUUUGGAAUCUUUUAAAGGUUUUCGCCUUUUUCUUGGCUAAUUCUAUGACCUCCUAUAAUCAGUUUACUUGAGGAGCAGUGAGAUUGCUUAGCAAGUGCCUAAAAGAAAACAGCUUUUUUCAGUUUCUCCCCUUAGCUCUUUUCAUUUUCUGGCUAGGGCUCCUUUCAGCAACUCAAUUAACAACUGCAAAUGAGAUACUGAUGAUGCCUUUUCAUGGAGCCUGUAUUCUAUUAUAUACACGAAAAUAUCAUUACGUUAUUUAAUUUUUUGAAUCAUGAGACCCCACUUGUUACUGAAUUGAUUUUUGAACUUCUCUCUGGUCAAUAUUGACUUGGCAUAGGCAGAUCAUAUUGCCAUUAUUAUAACUAAGAGAGAAUCAUCCUUAAUAACAUGUGGGAUCUUUCUCUUCAGAUGAUGUCCUAGUAAACAAAUGUGUGGAUAAUAAAAAAUAGAAGCUUCCUUAAUAAAAUAAACUCCAGUUAGCACUUAUAGUAAGGGAUUCCUCUUUACACAAGAAGGAAACAAUAAACCGAGUUAGGUUGGAGAUAGGUGUGGGUCUUUUGCCUUGAGGAGCACGAAGUCAAUCUCAGACAGAAAGAAGACUAAUAGAAAAUAUGACUUGCUGAGUACGCUUGUGUGUCUGAGUAUUGUUAUUAUUAUUACUGAAGAACUUUUAUGGGUGCUUCCAGGUAUUAAAAAC
rnacentral:lncRNA from 1 species